AUUAAGGUGGCAGAGCAGGUAACUGCAUAUAGAACUUAAGUCUUUAUAAUCGGGGGUUCAAGCCCUCUCUUUAAUA
rnacentral:tRNA from 1 species